AUGACCCUGCCUGGUGGUGGGUCGAGGCUUCAAACCUCAGGGGGCUUAGCAGAU
rnacentral:tRNA from 13 species